rnacentral:lncRNA from 1 species
AGUAAGAGACUUCACAUGUUCUAACAAAAAAGCAAGAAGUUGGAUGCAUUCUAAUCACGGCUUUCACAGUGCUGUAAUAUCUGCAUAAUGAAAACUCAUUUAGGCAGCAAAAUACCAAAAAGUAAAACUUCACACAGAGAGAGAGAGAGAGAGAGAGGCAGAGACACAGGCAGAGGGAGAAGCAGGCUCCAUGCACCGGGAGCCCGACGUGGGACUCAAUCCCGGGUCUCCAGGAUCGCGCCCUGGGCCAAAGACAGGCGCCGAACUGCUGCGCCACCCAGGGAUCCCUGAUUCAAUUUCUUCGCUGAUGUACUGUCCAUUUGGGGAGACGCAACGGAUUCUGAUACAAGUGACUGAUCCGAUACAGGGCCUGGCUGCACAGAUGCAGACGUGGAGUCUAGUGGUAACUGAGCCUCCCGGGCCCUGCUGUCUGUGCCCUGGAUGGGCGAAGAUUCAGACCGAGGCUGACAGAGGCUGUAGAGAGAGAGGACGCAUGAGAGAGCAUGAUUGCGGAGGGGCAAAGAAGGUGAAUUUCAAGUCCACUCCAUGCCAAGUACAGAGUCCAACACAGGGCUCCAGCUCACAACCCUGAGAUCAUGACCUGAACCAAAAUCAAGAGUCGGAUGCUUAACCAACUGAGUCACCCAGGCGCCCCUGUUCUGAGUAUUUUAAAUUUGUAAGAACUCCAAGUCUUUUUCUUUCUUUCUUUCUUUCUUUGUUUUUUUUUGUCUUUUUCUUUUUUAAGAACUCCAAGUCUUGAUGACAUCUUCAAGCUAUAAGGAACUUUUCAUGAUUGAUUAUACAUUUGCAGAUUAGUAGUUCUCACCUUUUUUUGUCAAUGAUCACAUCUUACAUAGGAUUUUGCUUCUAGCUAACAUCUCAAUGGAACACUGGAGUUCUCAUAGUGAUAUAUAACAACAUCCUUGUCUUAAACAGAACAAAAUCUAUUCAGAGUCGUGUGGUUCUGAUUUUUUAAGUAGUUCCAUUGUUCUCACAAGAAACUUCUAUUUUUAUAUUGUUGUAAAUUUAAAGAAUUCUAUUUUGUUAUCUUUAAUUAAAUAACAUGAAAUAUUUUAAGUAUAUUUUGAAACUUUGACUAGGAUUGAACUCUUUUUUUAGGUAAAAGAAAUACCCCUAAAAUUCUCUCUCUGCUAAUAGGAGUCUACAGGUAGGAGGUCUAGGUCUGUAAGGGAACUCUCCUACCAGUGGUCCUGACAACUCCCUGCAUAUGAAGGGAUUAGAGAGAAGAAAGAACUGGAAUGAUUCUAAAGUUUAUCUUAGGCAAAUGGGUGAAAAGACUAUUAUUAAGUAAAAGAGUAAUGAAAUAAUGGAUUAAUUCUUGGACAUGAUGUGGUGAUGUAAAGAAUUUAAAUUUUUUUAAAGAUUUUAUUUAUUUGUUUAUUUGAGAGAAUGAGAAACAAUGUGAAACAGUGAAAGAAAGCAUGAGGGUGGAGGGUAGAUGGAAAGUAAUAUGCAGACUCCCUACAGAGCAUGGAAACCAACUCAAAGUUGAUCCCAGGACUCUGGGAUCAUGACCUGAGCCGAAGGCAGAUGUUUAACCAAUUGAGCCACCUAGGCACCUCAAGAAUUUAAAAUCUUUACCUAGUUCUCAGAAGACUGUUUUUGACUGAAAUGCCAUAUUUGAGAGUCGUCAUUUGAGAGUCGUCAUUUGAGAGUCACACGUCAAAAAUUGUUUCAUUUGUUUUGUUUUGCUUUUCAGAUAAUUGAUCCAAUUUUGUCUUGCAUUAUAUAUCUAAGUAGAAAAAUAAGUAGCAGAAAAGUCUUAAUAGUAGGACACCCAAGAGAGUGACCGAGAUGAUUCUGUCCUGAAUCAUCAUGUAAUUUGUACAUAGUAGUGCAUAGAAAAAUUGUGUUUGUACAUAGUAAUUUGUACAUAGUAAUUUGUACAUAGUAGUACAUGUAAUUUGUACAUAGUAGUGCAUAGAAAAAUUGUGUUUUUAAGGAUUGAGCCUAUAAAAGGGAAGUAUUCAGUAUAGGUCCAGUAAAUAAGAGAUGUCCCCAGAACUUCUCAGUAUGAAAAGAAAGAAUGGGUCAUAGUCAGGGAAGAAAGUGAAGUUGGGAAUAGAGAUCUGGACACAAUCAAAAUUCAUAUGGCAGACUAAAUAAUAAGAAUUGACCAUUUGAUGUAAAAAGGAAGUGAGGAGCAAGUGGCUAAAACCACAAGAGAGUCAUUUAAGUAAAAGACAAUAAUUAAUUAAAGCAGUACCAUGUGACCAAUGAGAUAGGAAAAGGAGUCUGGUGUCAUAGAAACCAAAUUAGGAGUUUAUAAAAGUAGAGAAAUAGUAUUGGCUAAAACCUAAUGUGUGGCAUAGGGGCAAAGAAAAGUCAGGCAACAGAAAGGCAAAUGAAGAAGAGUGGGUUGUGUUGAUCUGCAUCCUCUGUUCAGUUUUCUGGUUUAUGUUUCUUUCCAUUAUGGCCAAUUGCUGGCUCCCAGGAGACACGUGCCCAAUUCUGAACCUACCCAAGCAGGAUUCAGACCUAGAAACAUUAUAUUUCCCAUGGUUCUGAGACAUCAAUACUCCAUUCUUUGAUCAGAUUGCUACCACCACUGAACCUAAAUUUUAAAAACAUAAAGUAAAUACCAGGCUUCACUCAGUUUCCUUUCUCAUAGAAGAAAGAUGGGGAUGGCUUUUCCCUUAUGAGAAGUGAGAAAAAAUGACAUUUUAUUAGCUAUACAAUUGUUCAACAGUUACCAGUGGGACAAUGAUUUGAGAAGUAGCAAUGGGAUAACUGGUUUCCUAAACAAAAGAAUAUUUGGCACGUGGUUUGGAAAGAAACCAGCUUAACUGUAAGAAUAAACCUUGGGGAAUAAAACUUUGGUACUGAAAAUUAUUCAGCAAAUAUAGAGUUUGAGAAAAAGUACCAAAGGAAGGGAAAAUUAGUUCAUUCACUUAAACAGGUGAAAUUGAGCAACAUUGCUUAAUGUUGAGGAUAAUGAAUUUAGAUGGUAAGUAGAAAGAAAGGUAAGAUUAGACUGGAGAGAGAUGGAACAUUUAGUCAAGAGAAGUUAAACAUUACUAGAGACAAAUCUAUGUUUUCCGUCAUGUAACCCAUAAAGUUGUUCCAAUAUAACAAAAAGGAUAGACUAGAUGACUGUAGAGGAAUUCCUACCCUGCAAAGCUCUCUGAAUCCUUAAUUUUUUUUCUUUGACCCUUAACCAUGUCUCUCAUACUUUUCAGAAUACACAGGUAAUAUGAAUGACCAACAGCCACAAGUUACUCGUCUCUUGCUUCAUUCUAAUCUAUAUGGCUUUUUUUUUUUUUUUUUUUUUUUACUAAACUCAUGUCCCCAAAUGGCAAUAAUUCUGGCAUUAGUUCAUUCUUUCUCAUUAUUAAUGUCAGAUAAAAUAAAAAUGUUGUGGCUGUUCUGCCAAUAUCUAGAACAGUGAAGAAAUACACUAGAUUUAGUCUGAGUCCAAUGGGUAGAAUAUUAUUUUACCCUAUAUCCCAACUUGUUUUAUGUUUUAAAGGGCAUGAUUAACCUUCUACUUUGUUCCAUACUUCUAUUUAACAAAAAUCGUUUUUAGUUUCCCAGGGCUGACAUAACAAAGUAGCACAAACUGAUGGACAUAGUAAAGAUAAAUGUAUUAUCUCAUGGUUGUGGAGGCUAGAAGUCUAGAAUGAAGGUGUUAGCAAAGCCAUGGUUUUUCCUAAGCCUCCAGGUGAAGAUUUUUACUUGCCUUGGCCAGUUUCUGUCUGACAGCCCUAGGCAUUCCUUGGUCUGUAGCAGGUUCACUUCUCUCUGCCUCCAUCUUCAAAAGACCAUCUUUUUUUCCCUUUAUGUGUGUCUCUAAAUCUUUACUGGGCUUCUCCUCUCCAUGUGUGUGUAUGUGCGUGUGUGUUUUCUUUCCUUAUAGGGACACCAGUUAAUUGGAUUAGAGCUAACUUAACUUGAUUUUAUCUAUUAUCUAUCAAAGACACUAUUUCCAAAAAUGUCACAUUCAUGGAUCCUGGGGUUAGGACUUCAAUACUUAUUUGAUGAUGAUGAUGAUGAUGAUGAUGAUUGAAGUAUAUUCCUAUACAAUAUUAGUUUCAGGAGUGCAACUUAGUGCUUUGACAAUUCUAUAUGUUACUCAAUGCCCACCAUCUACACAUAAUAAAAAAUUGAAAUAUGUUUAGUACUGUACAUUAUUACAAUAUUCUUGAUUAUAUUCUCUAUGCUAUACUUUUCAUCUUUGUCACUUAUUUAUUUUACAACUGAAAGUUUAUACCUCUUAAUCCCCUUUACCUAUUUUGCCCAUUCACCUACCCAUCUCUGUUCUAGCAACCACUAGCUCAUUCUCUGUAUUUAGGUGUCUGUUUCUUUGUGUUUUUGUUUGUUUGUCUUGAUUUUUAGAUUCCACAUAUAAAUGAUAUUAUAUACUCAAAAAUACAUUAAAAAGAUCAUUCACCAAGAUCAAGUGGGAUUUGUUCCAGGGAUGUAAAGGUAGUUCAAUAUUAGCAAAUCAAUCUAUGUGAUACAUCACAUUAACAAAAUAAAGGAAAAAAAACAUAUGAUCAACAUAUCUUUUUGAGAGACUCAAUUUAACCCAUAACAAUUUCCCAUUACCUAGGAUUUUGCAAUAUAUAUUCUUCCCUCCACAACCCAAGGCUUACGAUUUUGUAAUAUAUAUUCUUCCCUUCUAUUUCUGAAACAUCCCUAAACUGUCUUUUCCCACUCUUUUGAAGUGAGGUCCAGCUAGUUGACUGAGCACUGGUUUAUGAAAUGAUAGUCAAAGGACGGAGUACCAAUUACAAUGCUGGCUGUGGAAAUUUAAUUUAUUUUAUGUUAUUUAUUUUAUUUUAUUUUAUUUAUUUAUUUUCUUAUUUUAGAAAGAGAGAGAGCAAGGGGAAGAGCAAAGGGAGAGGGAGAGAGGGAAACUCAAGCCGACUCCAUGCUGAGGUCAGAGCCUGACGCAGGGCUCAGUCUCAGGAUUCUGAAAUCAUGAUGUGAGCCAGAAUCAAAGCAGGCACUUAACUCAUUGAGCCACACAAUGACUGGAGAUUUUAGAGGCCACACUUUAAAUAUGUGGUCUCCAAACAAUGGAAUUCACUUGGAUCACUGACUCACAUUUAGAGAUAGUCUCCAUGAAUCUCAACAUUGGAAUUUGCACACAUAAAAAAUCAACUUUUAUUUGUUAAGCCAGUGAGAUGCAAAUAUUACGUUGACUAACAUGCUCAUAUAUAUUAAGGGAAGAUUUUACUUUCAAAUGUUCAUUAUUAAAUUGUUUAACACAGUAUCUAAAAUAAAGUACAUUAAAAAUACUCAAUUUCAUAAUUCAGGGUUUUUGAUAUAUUCACAUAGCUAAACUUUUCUCAGGAUUUAGCCCCUCCCCUCCCCUCUGUGCCACUCCCCCUCCCCUCUUCCCCCUCUCCCUUUGCCCCUCCACCCCGCCCCUCCCCUAAAAAAAAAAAA